AUUGAACGCUGGCGGCAUGCUUUACACAUGCAAGUCGAACGGUAACAGGCCGCAAGGUGCUGACGAGUGGCGAACGGGUGAGUAAUGCAUCGGAACGUGCCCAGUCGUGGGGGAUAACGCAGCGAAAGCUGCGCUAAUACCGCAUACGAUCUAUGGAUGAAAGCGGGGGACCGUAAGGCCUCGCGCGAUUGGAGCGGCCGAUGUCAGAUUAGGUAGUUGGUGGGGUAAAGGCUCACCAAGCCAACGAUCUGUAGCUGGUCUGAGAGGACGACCAGCCACACUGGGACUGAGACACGGCCCAGACUCCUACGGGAGGUAGCAGUGGGGAAUUUUGGACAAUGGGCGCAAGCCUGAUCCAGCAAUGCCGCGUGCAGGAAGAAGGCCUUCGGGUUGUAAACUGCUUUUGUACGGAACGAAAAGGCUCUGGAUAAUACCUGGGGCUCAUGACGGUACCGUAAGAAUAAGCACCGGCUAACUACGUGCCAGCCGCCGCAGUAAAAC
rnacentral:rRNA from 1 species